rnacentral:tRNA from 1 species
GAAAAGCUAGUUAAAAAUAACAUGUGAUUGUCAAUCCCAAAUUAUCAUCUAACAAUGAUGCAUUUCA